rnacentral:rRNA from 1 species
GACGAACGCUGGCGGCGUGCUUAACACAUGCAAGUCGAACGGAAAGGCCCUGCUUGCAGGGUACUCGAGUGGCGAACGGGUGAGUAACACGUUGGUGAUCUGCCCUGCACUUCGGGAUAAGCCUGGGAAACUGGGUCUAAUACCGGAUAGGAGCCAUUUUUAGUGUGAUGGUUGGAAAGUUUUUUCGGUGUAGUAUGAGCUCGCGGCCUAUCAGCUUGUUGGUGGGGUAAUGGCCUACCAAGGCGGCGACGGGUAGCCGGCCUGGGAGGGUGGACGGCCACAUUGGGACUGAGAUACGGCCAAGACUCCUACGGGAGGCAGAAGUGGGGAAUAUUGAACAAUGGGCGCAAGCCUGAUGCAGCGACGCCGCGUGGGGGAUGACGGCCUUCGGGUUGUAAACUCCUUUCGCUAGGGACGAAGCUGUUUGUGACGGUACCUAGAUAAGAAGCACCGGCUAACUACGUG